rnacentral:rRNA from 1 species
AGUAACACGUGAGCAACCUGCCUUUCAGAGGGGGAUAACAGUUGGAAACGACUGCUAAUACCGCAUGACAUUAGGGGAGGGCAUCCUCUUCUAAUCAAAGGAGCAAUCCGCUGAAAGAUGGGCUCGCGGCCGAUUAGCUGGAUGGCGGGGUAGAGGCCCACCAUGGCGACGAUCGGUAGCCGGACUGAGAGGUUGAACGGCCACAUUGGGACUGAGACACGGCCCAGACUCCUACGGGAGGCAGCAG